GGAUGGACUUGCCUUGGUUAUAUAAUGUCUAGGUAUCACCAGGUGAGAUUCAUCCAU
rnacentral:pre_miRNA from 1 species